AGCUCCAGUAGCGUAUAUUAAAGUUGCUGCAGUUAAAAAGCUCGUAGUUGGAUUUCUGGUUGAGCGCGCCUGGCCCGCCUCGAAUAGAGCGUGAGUGCCGGUGCGCGCUUGCCAUCCUUCUAGAAAACGUUUCCUCCUUCAUUGGUUGGAUUCGCGAUCUAGAUCAUUUACUUUGAAAAAAUUAGAGUGUUUAAAGCAGGCUUGUGCUAUGAAUACAUUAGCAUGGAAUAAUAAUUUAGGACUUCGGUUCUAUUUUGUUGGUUUCUAGUACUGAAGUAAUGAUUGAUAGGGAGCGUUGGGGGUGCUAGUAUUCAGCGGCCAGAGGUGAAAUUCUUGGAUUCGCUGAAGACUAACUUAUGCGAAAGCAUUCACCAAGGAGCUCUUCUUUAAUCAAGAACGA
rnacentral:rRNA from 1 species